rnacentral:lncRNA from 1 species
UGGAUAUGUUCUAACAAAUGCAUCAUUAGGUGAUAUUCUUGUUCUAGCAGGUCAGUCAUAGGAAGAGCAAUUGAGUGAAACUGAAGGAAGAGGCAAAAAUGACUUAAUGAUGAUAACAGUGCCUGCUCUACUCUGCUUCUGCAGAAGAUUCACUUACUGGACAUUCUGGAGCAUUCAUACAGAAUAGUGAAUCCCUCCCCGAUAUCUUCCAUAUCUUCCCUUGCUAGGCAUAACAGAGGAUGAAGCACCACUAUGGUCUUGAGAGCCUCCUAAAACACAAGUCAAUUUGAUUAGAAUGAAAAAAAAAUCCUCUUUUGCAUGUCCUCCAAGGACCCUCCCUAAUUCCAGUCCACAACAUCCCAGACUCAUUUACUCCCUCCAGAUAUCACAAUACCCAGGGUGAUAUAACUUAUUACUCAACCCAGGACACUUUUGAGAAUAAAAUAGGGCCUGUUUACUGAUUUCAUCGGGAUAACAGUCCUAAACAGAGUGUUCCAGCAAACCGGAGUAUGAGCACUCUACCAACACUUCACGUGGGUAUAGCUGUAUACACAGGGGACUAGCCAUUUGAUACCAUCUGUUUCUCACACACAUCCAUGAGGGAAGAAUCAUUCCCAUUUAACAGACAAUGUAACUGGGGCUGAAUAUAGCUCAGCGACUUGCCCCAGGCCCACCAGGAAGUGGAUAAAGCCGUGCUCAACCCAACACUUCUUCAAAGCCUUAUUCUUUGUCUGCCACACUGACCCAUGCUGAUUCCUUCUGGUCAGCCAAGAAUGGCACAGGAGUGGGCUGGUAACAUGUGAGCAUGUGCAGCUGAACUGGAAGGUGGCCAGGAGCUGAAGUAGCAGAGGGCAGAGCUGCAUUUC